UACGAAGGGGGCUAGCGUUGCUCGGAAUCACUGGGCCUAAAGGGUGCGUAGGCGGGUCUUUAAGUCCGGGGUGAAAUCCUGGAGCUCAACUCCAGAACUGCCUUUGAUACUGAAGAUCUUGAGUUCGGGAGAGGUGAGUGGAACUGCGAGUGUAGAGGUGAAAUUCGUAGAUAUUCGCAAGAACACCAGUGGCGAAGGCGGCUCACUGGCCCGAUACUGACGCUGAGGCACGAAAGCGUGGGGAGCAAACAGG
rnacentral:rRNA from 1 species